AAAAGUAAAUGUAAAUGAUGGGCAUUGAGGACGGCACUUGUUGGCAUGAGCACUGAUUGUUGUAUGUAAGCGACAAAUCAUGGGAAUCUGCCCCUGAAACCAAGAGUAACUGUAUACACUGUAUGUUAGCUAACUUGACAAUAAAUUCUAUU